rnacentral:rRNA from 1 species
UACAGAGGUCCCAAGCGUUGUUCGGAUUCAUUGGGCGGAAAGGGUGUGUAGGUGGCGCCGUAAGUCGGGUGUGAAAUCUCGGGGCUUAACUCCGAAACUGCAUUCGAUACUGGCGUGCUUGAGGACUGGAGAGGAGACUGGAAUUCAUGGUGUAGCAGUGAAAUGCGUAGAGAUCAUGAGGAAGACCAGUGGCGAAGGCGGGUCUCUGGACAGUUCCUGACACUGAGACACGAAGGCCAGGGGAGCAAACGGG